CGCAAGACCUUGCGCUGAUUGAGCGGCCGAUGUCAGAUUAGCUAGUUGGUGAGGUAAAGGGCUCACCAAGGCGACGAUCUGUAGCGGGUCUGAGAGGAUGAUCCGCCACACUGGAACUUGAGACACGGUCCAGACUCCUACGGGAGGCAGCAGUGGGGAAUUUUGGACAAUGGGGCAACCCUGAUCCAGCCAUGCCGCGUGAGUGAAGAAGGCCUUCGGGUUGUAAAGCUCUUUCGGCCGGGAAGAAAUCGCAUGGGUUAAUACCCUGUGCGGAUGACGGUACCGGCAUAAGAAGCACCGGCUAACUACGUG
rnacentral:rRNA from 1 species